CCUACGGGUGGCAGCAGUGGGGAAUAUUGCGCAAUGGGCGCAAGCCUGAUGCAGCCAUGCCGCGUGUGUGAAGAAGGCCUUCGGGUUGUAAAGCACUUUCAGCGGGGAGGAAGGCGUUAAGGUUAAUAACCUUGUCGAUUGACGUUUCCCUCAGAAGAAGCACCGGCUAACUCCGUGCCAGCAGCCGCGGUAAUACGGAGGGUGCAAGCGUUAAUCGGAAUUACUGGGCGUAAAGCGCACGCAGGCGGUCUGUCAAGUCGGAUGUGAAAUCCCCGGGCUCAACCUGGGAACUGCAUUCGAAACUGGCAGGCUAGAGCCUUGUAGAGGGGGGUAGAAUUCCAGGUGUAGCGGUGAAAUGCGUAGAGAUCUGGAGGAAUACCGGUGGCGAAGGCGGCCCCCUGGACAAAGACUGACGCUCAGGUGCGAAAGCGUGGGGAGCAAACAGGAUUAGAUACCCGUGUAGUC
rnacentral:rRNA from 1 species